rnacentral:rRNA from 1 species
GGUGAACGCUGGCGGCGUGCCUAAGACAUGCAAGUCGAGCGGGCCGCGGGGUUUUACUCCGUGGUCAGCGGCGGACGGGUGAGUAACGCGUGGGUGACCUACCCGGAAGAGGGGGACAACCCGGGGAAACUCGGGCUAAUCCCCCAUGUGGACCCGCCCCUUGGGGUGUGUCCAAAGGGCUUUGCCCGCUUCCGGAUGGGCCCGCGUCCCAUCAGCUAGUUGGUGGGGUAAUGGCCCACCAAGGCGACGACGGGUAGCCGGCCUGAGAGGGUGGCCGGCCACAGGGGAACUGAGAAACGGGCCCCACUCCGACGGGAGGAAGCAGUGAGGAAGCGUCCGCAAUGGGCGCAAGCCUGACGGAGCGACGCCGCGUGGAGGAAGAAGCCCUUCGGGGUGUAAACUCCUGAACCCGGGACGAAACCCCCGACGAGGGGACGGACGGGACCGGGGUAAUAGCGCCGGCCAACUCCGUG